ACGUAGGGAGCAAGCGUUAUCCGGAUUUAUUGGGCGUAAAGGGUGCGUAGGCGGCUUGUUAAGUAUGAGAUUAAAGCCCGAGGCUUAACCUCGGUUCGUUUCAUAAACUGGCAGGCUUGAGUGUGGCAGAGGUAAACGGAAUUUCUAGUGUAGCGGUUAAAUGCGUAGAUAUUAGAAGGAACACCAGUGGCGAAGGCGGCUUACUGGGCCAUAACUGACGCUGAGGCACGAAAGCGUGGGGAGCAAAUAG
rnacentral:rRNA from 1 species